UAUGCCUCCAUUUCAGAGAAGAAAGGCAGGCAUGCUUCCGUCCUCUCGCCCCUCGCCGGCGGCGACGGCCUUCGCAGAGCAGCAGCUGAAGCAGCUCCGGGCACAGUGCCUCGUGUUCCUCGCUUUCAGCAGAGAGAUGAAUCUGAUCUGGGCGGUGAUUGAUGACUUCUUGUGUGUUCUUCUGAAUGAUCAAAUCUGAUCUGGGAGUAUUAUGUAGAAACAACAUGGAGCCCAAGAAGAAGCAUCUGGAAAUUGCACUUGGUCAAUGUUCUGCGGAAGGCAGCGGUGGCGGAGAAGGAGACCAGCAAGAAGCCGACAAGGAUGACAGCCGCGGCCAAACCGGGUCGUCUUCGUCUUCGCCGGUGUCAUUCUCUGCAGCGACUGCUGGGUUGCCACCGCCGGAUCUUGCGGCCCUGUCCUCGCUGCGUCUGUCGAGUCACCCGGGCGGCCGAACCAGGAGAGUGAUACGUCGAGGAGUUGGCAAAAUUCAGUGAUUGAAUGGGAUUGCAUCAGAAUGGUUUCACUCUUAUUCUACACUUUCCAGCAAUUCAUCGUCAUCUUCAGAAAUCAGAGCGUAGUGAUGAGAUGUCGUCUUGUGUAUUUUUCGUACUACUCGUGAACAGGGUUGUAUAUACAGGAUUGGUACGGUGUAUUGUUCUCCCAAAUUCAUUUUAUCGUUACCAACUUAUGGUCAAA